UCUUCCUAUUGCCCAAAUAUUGAUUAGUAUUUGUGCAUUUUUGGGCACUGUGAAGCCUUGCAUCUCUACUUCGGAUACGGCUUUACGGGGCAGCAGGAGCGGUGCUGGUGGGUGCAGCCGAAAUGUCUCUUUGACUAUUGCUUGAAGGUAAGGACACUUGGAGAUGUCUGAUUCUUGAACCGGUCCUUCGACUUGUUGUUGGAGCUCAUUUUUGGCUUUGACCAUUUUAUCAGGGUUCAGUAAUAUCUCUGUCAUGGCCCACUCUACUGUGCUUGAGGUAGUGUCAGUGCCCGCAAUGAAAAAAUCCUGAUGUAAACACGUAAGAGAAUUAAUUUCAGAACUGAAGGUUAGUGUGCAAAAAAAGUUGGUCAUAAUUAUCAAUUAGAUAACUAAUCUCAGUACUUGAAACUAUUUGGGAACGCGGUGUAAACAAUAUUUUUAAAAAAUUUAUAUUUUUUUUGUUAAAAUUUAAUAUCAUUUUUAUGUUUUGGAUUGUUUUAAUGUGCUGAUGUCAAAAAUAAUUUUUAAAAAAUAAAAAAACAUUAUUAACAUGCAUUUCAGUACAAAAAAUUAUUUGAAAAACAAUCGCUACCACACUACCAAACAUACUCUUACCAUAAGCAAAACCUGUAUGUCAGUGGAGCUCAAUUCAGUAUUGUUUUCUUUGGCUAGAAUCAGCAGGGCAUCAAGGACAUCAUGGCUUGCCUUGGAUGCAACUGAAGAAGAACGUGGUCGUGUCCUCUCGUUGAUUAUAUUAUCAAAAAUUUGAGCUAAUCUUUUCAAAUAAUUGUUCGUCUUUCGUCUUACACCUUGUGGAUCUACUAAUCGAAGUAUUGGGAAAUAGUCGGCAAUAUUUGGCUUGCCAAUUUGUUCCGUGACACCAACCACGAGAUCGCUGAAUUCUUGAGACAAAUCAAUUAGUAAUUAAUAAAAAGAAUUAAACUUAUUAAGUUAUUUUAUAUAUAUAUAUAUAUAAAGAUUAAGGGGGCAAUUGCCCCCUUAAUCUCCACUGUGGCUCCGCCACUGAAGGUAAGCCUUUUGCUUUGUUCUCCCUGCUUUUCGUUAAUUAAUUAUCGCCUUCUGUUCUUAAAAUUAGCUGCUCAUGCACGCAUGAUUUGGUUCACGCGUGCUUCAUGUGGCCCAGCCGGGUCACUGGCUUGGGCCAGUGACCAGGCUGGCCCGGCUGGGUCCAGUCCUCAUGAGCGGAGCUGGGCCCAGUUCAAAAAAUAAUAAUAAAAUAGAAAAAUAAAAAAACAGAAAAAUAAAAAAAAUGUGUAUGCAUAAAUAAAAAUAAUGUAAAUUUAUUGGUUUAUUCACUGACGCUAGAGUCAUGAAUAAAAAUAUCGGUUUAAAUUUAUAUUAUUUUUAUUCGUUGUAUUUUAUUUUAUUUAGCUAGAAAAAUAAAAAAAAAUAUGUGCAUACUUAAAAAUAAAUUUAUUUUUAUUUAUUUAUUCACUAUCGCUAGAGUAGGAAUAAAAAAAUAUUGAUCUAAUUUAUUUUAUAACUACGUAAUAUUUACCAACGCCAGAGUUGGAGAUAUUCGUAGUUGAAAAUUCACCGACGCCAGAGUCAAGAAUAUUAUAAGCAAAUUAUCAUAGCAUAAACUAAUAAACAUUUAGCAAUUUAAGACAAAACCAACAAUGCAGUCCGCCUUAGACAGAAUGUUUAAGGGGUGAUAAUAUCUUCCCUUUUACGCAACCAAUACCGAGCCAUAGAAUCUCUGUUGACCAGUUGGGGUUCCUAGUGACCAUAAUACUAGGUGACGACUCCUUAAACAAGACAUUUUCCCCUAAAAGAACAAGAUACCAGAAACCUGUUCUUUUCCAAUAAAUCGAGAAUAUAUUUUUAAGGCCGCCACGAUGUCGGGUGCGACAACUAUAAUCUCCCUUUCUCACACUCAUCAAGUUAUCUCCCUUAAAUUAACAAACACCAAUUAUCUAUAAUGGCGUAUGCAGAUGAUGCCGCAUCUCCUAGGUCAAGGAGUUUUCAGCUUUGUUGAUUGCUCCAACGCAUGUCCAUCUCCACAUAUUCUUGCCGCCGAUGGUACCUCUCUUUAGGUAAAUCCGCUCUUUAUUCGCUGGAAACAACAUGACCAACUUAUUUUGAGUGCUUUCCUUUCCUCCCUAUCCAUGGAAGUUCUGCACCUUGUUGUUGGCUGCCAAACUUUUUGUUCUGCCAAGCGCACUCUUGAGCAAGCUCUCGCUUCCACCUCAAACUCUCGUAUUAUGCAACUUCAUGGCUCUCUUCAGGAUCUUCAACAGGGUGAUGAAUCGGUAACUCAAUUUAUUGAAAAAGCUAAGGCCUUGUUUGAUGAGUUAGCUGCUGCUGGCCGGCCAGUUUCGCUUGAGGAUUUCAACUUAUAUGUGUUUCGUGGUCUUCAAGGAGAGUUUAAAGACUUAGUAACAAGGCUUGUUACCAAGGCCGAACCUUUAUCGUAUGUGGAUCUUCAUAAUCAUCUCCUCGCGCAUGAAUUUAUUCACAAAUCUUUGGCGGCCAUACAUGCUCUUCUACUGCCCACGCCCAACACCCCACCGUCUGCCCUUGUUGUGCAAUGCCAGACCUUUGGCAAUUCUGGUCGCAGUAUGGGCCGAUUUAAUGGCGGUUGGCGCCCCAACCUGUUCAACAGUAAAGACAACUGGUCUGCUGGCUCCAAACCAGAUCGUUGCAGCUUCCACAGCUCCUUCUUUAGUGAUAGUAGACAAGGUAAAUUGCAAGGAAUUUGGUAGCGCAAUAGAGGGCAGGAUCCACGCUGCCAACUGUGCUAAAAUUUUCGGCCAAACCGCUCUUUACUGUCCUUAACUCCAAGGAAAAAUGGGCAAAAAUAGGCUUUUAAAGCGCCUUGAUUUUCUUUAGAUCUCUAAAUUUUUGUCCCUCCUCCUUGCAAUUUACGAGUCAUAAACUCUUGAAAUACUAAGGGAAAAACGAGCUUUUAAAGCACAUGAAAUCUCCUUGGAUUUUUAUCUUAAUAAAUUUAGUUUGAAUCAAACCUAGAAAAAUUGAUAGGAUUAGAAAACACCAUCACCAUAGCAAUUAUAAGGCAAACCAAACAUCAAUCAACUUACCUUAGUUAGGGUGUACUAGGGGUGCUAAUACAUUUCCUUUACGCAACCAGUCCUUUGCCUUAGAAUAUCUGAAAGACCAGUUAGGGUUCCUAGUGACCAAAAUACUAGAUGGCGACUCCUUUAUCCAAAUAAAAACAAAAAACCCAAAAUCAAUAGAGGAUCAUCGCGCUCCGCCGCAACGGUGCAACAAAGACUUUUCCUUCAUCUUUAUUUUUAUAGUAAAUUUUUAAAGAUAAAAGAUUGAAAAACUAAUUUUGAUAAUAAUCAAAAUUAAUUUUCACCAUUGUAGAUAAAAAUAAUGGGCUAUAAUUCUUAAUGGAUUAAGCCUAAGUUUAAAUGUUAGCUGGCAACAUAAGUGUAAGGUCGACAUAUGUUUAUGUUUAAGCUUAAAACUCAUUUUGUUUAGGACCUCUCACCUUUACGAGUUUGGGGGUGUUUUUGGAGCUUAAUUUUAACUUUAUAAUUUUUCAUUUUAUAAACACCAAGAAAGUUUUGUUUAAUCUCUAUGUUUUGUUAGAGGUUUUAAGUAUCACCAAAACAUAUUAGCAAAAAGUUUUUUAAGAUCAAUUUCUUAUUCACUUAUAAUUAGUUUAAAUCAUAUUAAUAUUUUAUUUUAAAGAGUUCAUGUUAUAGAUUAAGGGGGUGUUUGAUAGUAUAAUAACGGUUACUUUUUAAAGUGUUUUUCGCUAAAAAAUACAUCAAAAUAAUGUAUUUUUUUAGUUUUUUAAAAAUUAUUUUUGAUAUCAACACAUCAAAAUGAUCCAAUAACAGUAACAAAAUAAUAAGUUAAAGAAAAGAAAAAAAUUAAAAAAUUUAUUUUUUUAAAAGCGCUUUUGAAACACUAAAAUAAACAUGCCCUAAAUAUCAAUAAAAUUUUAACCCAAAAAAAAUUUGAAUUCCAUUUUUGACUUGGAUAUGUCCAUUAAUUAAUCUGGUUUUAACAAAAUUUAUAAAACAAUAUCAAUCAUGUUUCAUGAAAUUUUAGGUGAAAUGUUUUAGAUGGAUGAGAGAUAAUUGUCACUCAUUAGCUAUUUUUCCUCGUGACAGUAAAAGUUUUUUUUUUAAAAAAACAUGGCUGAUAUCCUUUGCUGACCGUGACCAGUUUGGUUAACACAAGGCAAAUCUCAAGGCCUCAGCAGGUAUCGCCUUCGGCUCUUACUCGGCUUCUGUUGUUGGUUUAAAUUGGAUAGUUUAUCUCAAAACAAAUUGUCAAGUUCAGUCAUCGGUUUUUUAAUAAAUUUUUAUUUUAAAAAGUAUUAAAUUAAUGUUUUUUAAAUAUUGUUUUAUAAUUUUUCUAUUUAAUAUAAAAGAUAUUUUUAAAAAUAUAUAUUAAUUAAUAUAUUUUUAAUUAAAAAUAUAUAUUUUUAAAAAAUACAGAACAUAUCGCGAAACACUCUCUUGCGCCAAACACUCUCAGACAAAAUCAAAGUUCUGAUCUAGCUGUAAGAUUCAUUAAAUCAGACCUAACUAUGAAGUCCUAAAAGUUCGCAUCAAAAAUAUUAACACAUUUUAGGUGUUGCAAGAGUAAUGACUCGCUAAUUUUCUUGAAACAAUAAAGGAACUCUAUCAAUCUGAUUAGAACUCUGACAAUAUCAUGUUUUUGUUGCUGAUUUGUGUCCACAAGUUUAAUGAAAGAGUGGAAGGUGGCCUCAAAAGCUGAGACUUUCUACCUUCUUGCUUAUGUGGAAGUAGGGCCACAAGUUCAAUCGAACAUGGUAUUGUUUUUUUUAGUGUGUUUAUAAUUGUUUUUUUAAGUAUUUUUUAUUUUAAAAUAUAUUAAAAUAAUAUUAUUUUUAUUUUUUAAAAAUUAUUUUUAACAUCAGCACGUCAAAAUAAUUUAAAAAUACUAAAGAAAUAUUAAUUUAAAGCAAAGAAACAAAUAAAAAAAUUUUAAAUUUUUUUAAAAACACUUUAAAAAUACAAAAACAAAUAGGAUAAUAAACUCAUUGAUUGUAUGAAAUAGAAACUUUUUCAUGAAAAGUAGACAUAAUGUUCCACAAUUCUCAUCAAUUUUCAAUGUCUUAUUUUGACAAGACAUUGGCAAUCGUUUCACUCACAUUCAUAUGCUCUGGUUUUGAGUCAUCUUGGAUAGAACAAAGCUAGCUCAAAAUAAAAUUAGCUCAAAAUUUACUAUGUGUAAAUUUUGUAAUAAUACUUUAAAAUAAUUUUUUUUGUUAUUAUUAAUGAUGAAUCAUUUAUUUUUAAAAUUUUAUUGUUCAUCACCUAUACAACUAAGAUAUUUGUAAUAUGUUCAAUAAAAUCAUCUUAGUUUAUAUACACUUAUAAAUAAGAUCUUUGAAUCAAAGUAAAAAAAUCUAAUUAUCUUCCAAUAAAAUGAAUCUAAACUAUAUAUUUGAAAGGACAGCUAAGGCAUAAAAAGAUAAAAAAAAAACAAUAAAAAUAAGUUGACGAAGGGUGUCAAAAUUUGGAGAGAAAAAAAAACUUCUUCGAAAGUUUUCCUUCACCCUUAUUUACAGUACAUUUUUAAAAUUAAAAGAUUAAAAACUUGUUACUUUGCAAGAUUAAUGACUUGCUAAUUUUCUUGAAACAGUAAAGGAACUCUAUCAAUCUGAUUAGAACUCUGAUAAUAUCAUGUUCCUGUUGCCGAUUUGUGUCCACAAGUUUAAUGGAAGAGUGGGAGUAGGGCCUCAAAUGCUGAGACUAAUUUCUACCUCGUUGCUUCCUGCAUGAAAUAAAAACUUUUUCAUCAAUUUUCAUGAAAUUGAUAUUCUCCGGUUCCACAAUUUUCUAUGAAGUAGGGCAAUAUGUUCCACAAUUGUCAUCAAUUUUCGUUAAUUUUCAAUGUAUUAUUUUGACAAGACAUUGGCAAUCGUUUCACUCAACUCCAUAUUUUCUGGUUUCAGUUAUUUUGAUAAAAUCAAAGUGAGCUCCAAAUAAAAUUAACUUAAAAUUUACUAUGUUUAAAUUUUCUAAUAAUAAAAAUAUCAAUAUUUAAAUUUUUAAUAAUAAAAAUAUAUAUGUUUAAAUUAAACUAGAGAUGAUAUUUAUUUGUUAGUAAUAAAAUUUUUGUUAUUGUUAAUGAUUUGUAGUGGCUUUAGAAUUAUCAAGGAUGGAUGAGUAUGGUCGUUUUAAGUCGUCACCACCACCACCACUAGCUGGUGAUUUUCUUCAUGGUCUUACAUUCAAAGUGGAUUUUUAAUGUCAUGUUUAUGUACAAACUGCUCUUUUAAAUCGGGGUUUCAGGUGAUGGAUGCUAUGCUUCUAUUUGAUGAAAUGCCUGAGAUAAAUUUAGUUACUUGGAAACAGUAAGGCCCUCAGAAACACAACCUUCCUUUCGUUAUUACUGCUCGUUCUUUUUUCAAAUUUCAAUCUGAAAUCACUCCUCAAAUCAAACCCUUGUGCGAAAGCCUUGAUUGCCCUCACCUGCAUAAGCUUCUCUGGCCAGCACUCCAUUUUCCUUUUCCUUUUCUAGAAGCCAAUUUUCCUUAAAAAGAAAAAAGCCAGUCCUUUUUUAUUCAGGUAAAAAGAAGUUGGGUUUGGUACUUCAUAAUUGAAGAAGAAUCGGAAGAUAGAUGGCGUACAAAUUUGACAAGUUUUUCACAAGAAAUCAGAAAAGUGUUCACAAGUUUUUCAUGAUAAUUCAAAAGUGUUCAAAUGUGUAAAGACCAUCCUAGAAAACUGGUUUGAUUUGAAAAUGAUUUCCAUUUUUCUCUAAACAUAAAACAAUAUAGGUUGAUAACGUGUUUGAGGACAGGGCUGACGAUGAGCUCCCUGGCCCUCGUGCACAUAAAUCAGCAUCUUCCAUGGUUGCUUCCACAGUUGCUUCUGCAGUUUCGUCCAGCUCCUUCACUGGACCACUAAGCAGCCCAGCCACCCCAGACCAUGUUUUACCCAGACUCUGUGAUGUUUGAAUUUCAUGUUCUUAGAAACAGGGAAAAUAAUUAAUCACAUAGUUUAUCGUAGAAGAAAUUCAAAAGUUGGCUGUGUUUAACACUAUUUUCUAUAUCAAAUCCGAGGAUAAAACGUGAACUUUUUUGCUAUUCUGUCACAGCUUAUGUAGUUAGCGAUAUUUACAAAUCAUGGGAUAUUUAAGCACCUCUUGUGGUUGGCAAUUUGACACACACACACGCACAUGGAGAAAGUUAAGUUCUCGUGUAAUUAUUUGCUGUAAAUAUAUACUAACACAAUCGUUGAUAGAAAGCUUUAAAUUUUAUAUUGUCAAAUUGUCUCCCAUUGUUUGCUACAAGCAUAAAAAGGCAACUAAACCUACAAAUGAUGUUUUUUCAUACAAGCUUGUUUCACAUGAUACACUACACCAUCAAUAAUAAGAUGUUUUUUUUAAUUAAAAAAACAAAUACAAAUAAAUAAAGAAGAGAGAAAAUAAAAUCAAGAUUUAUAAAAAAUGAUAGAAAUAUUUUUUUCUAUAAUUUCUCUUUACUCUCUUUUAUCAAAAUAAAUCACAGAAUAUACCACUAAACAUCAUAAAAUAACUUAGAUUCCAACAAAAACUUUUAAAAUCCUUCAAAAUAAGAAACCCAACCUCAUGAAUUAUCAUCCAAUUAACAUCUAAAACCGCCAAUCUACAUUAAAUCUAGCCACUAAAAUGGAGUCUUAAAUCUAAAAUAUUUGAAAUCUAGCCUUCAAACAAUUCCCCAAACAUCCAUUACUGUCCGACCAUAAAAAAGAGAGCAUGGAUCCUAAAAAAAAACACUAAACCCAUCCAUGAUGGAGGGUGUUUAAAGAAAGCAGAGAAAAUUUUAAAAAAAAUGAGGUAAGAAAAUCAUUAGAGAGAAGAAUAGAACUGCCGAAACAACCAUAACGGUAGUGCUCAAGCGAUAAUGAAAAAGAAAAAACAAUCCACAAGCGAUGGGCGAUGCACUAUGAUUUCUGUGCCAAAUAAUCAAAGAGUAAGCAUGAGAUAAGCUAAUGAAAGGAAAAGAAAAUGAAAGAGAGAGGAGACAGUAGAAAAAGGGAGAGCAAGCAGGCCAGAAACCCAUAAACAUAACAGAAAAUAUCAGAGUCAAUAAAGUUUGGACAGCUCCGUUUUUAUUUUAUAUUUCUAAUUCCGGGAAACAGUUCUCCCGGUUAGUAACAAGGCGUACCCUGUCCAAAUCCAGCAAAGGGAAUAGAACGUAAUAACAUCUCAUACCUCGUCCCGGAGGCCAUGGUAACAUUGUAGAGAAACAAGUUCACGUUUUCAUGGGUAUAGCCCGGAGAGGCUCACUCUUAUGCAAUGUAAGCCCAAACGUUUCACUCGUGUCUAUAUCCUCUGGUGUCAGGUCAUCAGCAAUCUUCCAAUCAAAAGAGUGGAUGAGAGAUGCCAACGUCAAAUGCACCAUCUUGUGGGCCAGAGGCAAUCCAGGGCAAAUCCUUCUUCCUGCUCCAAAUGGCAUUAGCUCAAAAUCUCUUCCUUUCACGUCAGCUUGGCAUUCUAAGAACCUUUCAGGCUUGAACGAAUUAGGAUCUGGCCAUAUGGCUGGAUCUCUUCCUAUUGCCCAAAUAUUGAUUAGUAUUUGUGCAUUUUUGGGCACUGUGAAGCCUUGCAUCUCUACUUCGGAUACGGCUUUACGGGGCAGCAGGAGCGGUGCUGGUGGGUGCAGCCGAAAUGUCUCUUUGACUAUUGAUUGAAGGUAAGGACACUUGGAGAUGUCUGAUUCUUGAACCGGUCCUUCGACUUGUUGGAGCUCAUUUUUGGCUUUGACCAUUUUAUCAGGGUUCAGUAAUAACUCUGUCAUCGCCCACUCUACUGUGCUUGAGGUAGUGUCGGUGCCCGCAAUGAAAAAAUCCUGAUGUAAACACGUAAGAUAAUUAAUUUCAGAACUGAAGGUUAGUGUGCAGAAAAACUUGGUCAUAAUUAUCAAUUAGAUAAUCUAAUCUCAAUACUUACAAUAAGCAAAACUUGUAUGUCGGUGGAGCUCAAUUCAGUAUUGUUUUCUUUGGCUAGAAUCAGCAGGGCAUCAAGUACAUCAUGGCUUGCCUUGGAUGCAAC
rnacentral:lncRNA from 1 species